rnacentral:tRNA from 7 species
GCCUGGAUAGCUCAGUCGGUAGAGCAGGGGAUUGAAAAUCCCCGUGUCCUUGGUUCGAUUCCGAGUCCGGGCACCA